UAGGGAAUCUUCGGCAAUGGACGAAAGUCUGACCGAGCAACGCUGCGUGAGUGAAGAAGGUUUUCGGAUCGUAAAACUCUGUUGUUAGAGAAGAACAAGGACGUUAGUAACUGAACGUCCCCUGACGGUAUCUAACCAGAAAGCCACGGCUAACUACGUGCCAGCAGCCGCGGUAAUACGUAGGUGGCAAGCGUUGUCCGGAUUUAUUGGGCGUAAAGCGAGCGCAGGCGGUUGCUUAAGUCUGAUGUGAAAGCCCCCGGCUCAACCGGGGAGGGUCAUUGGAAACUGGGAGACUUGAGUGCAGAAGAGGAGAGUGGAAUUCCAUGUGUAGCGGUGAAAUGCGUAGAUAUAUGGAGGAACACCAGUGGCGAAGGCGGCUCUCUGGUCUGUAACUGACGCUGAGGCUCGAAAGCGUGGGGAGCAAACAGG
rnacentral:rRNA from 1 species